AUUGAACGCUGGCGGCAUGCCUUACACAUGCAAGUCGAACGGUAACAGGUCUUCGGAUGCUGACGAGUGGCGAACGGGUGAGUAAUACAUCGGAACGUGCCUAGUAGUGGGGGAUAACUACUCGAAAGAGUGGCUAAUACCGCAUGAGAUCUACGGAUGAAAGCAGGGGAUCGCAGGACCUUGUGCUACUAGAGCGGCCGAUGGCAGAUUAGGUAGUUGGUGGGAUAAAAGCUUACCAAGCCGACGAUCUGUAGCUGGUCUGAGAGGACGACCAGCCACACUGGGACUGAGACACGGCCCAGACUCCUACGGGAGGCAGCAGUGGGGAAUUUUGGACAAUGGGCGAAAGCCUGAUCCAGCAAUGCCGCGUGCAGGAUGAAGGCCUUCGGGUUGUAAACUGCUUUUGUACGGAACGAAAAGCUUUGGGCUAAUACCCUGGAGUCAUGACGGUACCGUAAGAAUAAGCACCGGCUAACUACGUGCCAGCCGCCGCAGUAACAC
rnacentral:rRNA from 1 species